rnacentral:rRNA from 1 species
AGCCCCCCUCAAGAUGAGAUUUCCCAGUAUGUAAGACCCCUUGAAGACGACGAGGUAGAUAGGUUGGAGGUGGAAGCACAGCAAUGUGUGGAGCUGACCAAUACUAAUCGGUCGAGGGCUUGACCUA